AUUGAACGCUGGCGGCAGGCCUAACACAUGCAAGUCGAACGAGUGGCGGACGGGUGAGUAAUGUCUGGGAAACUGCCUGAUGGAGGGGGAUAACUACUGGAAACGGUAGCUAAUACCGCAUACCAUCAGAUGUGCCCAGAUGGGAUUAGCUUGUUGGGGGGGUAACGGCUCAACAAGGCGACGAUCCCUAGCUGGUCUGAGAGGAUGACCAGGCCCACUGUAACGUAGACACGGUCCAGACGCCUACGGUAGGCAGCAGUGGGGAAUAUUGCACAAUGGGCGCAAGCCGGAUGCAGCCAUUCCGCGUGUAUGAAGAAGGCCUUCGGGUUGUAAAGUACUUUCAGCGGGGAGGCGUUACCCGCAGAAGAAGCACCGGCUAACUCCGUGCCAGCAGCCGCGGUAAUUC
rnacentral:rRNA from 1 species